GCAACGAGCAAUGUGCCAUCAGGAUGGCUUGGCCCUCUCCAGUCAUCUGAGCCCUCAGCUGAGGAUGUGCCCGAGCCUGAUGUAGAUGAGCCCGAGCCUGAUGUAGAUGAGCCAAUGUCUAGUAGCCAUCUUGAUGACCAUGCUUCAAUCGAAGAUCCUCAACUAGUCAGGCUAGAAAGCCUGCAUGCCCAGAGAGAUCUACACAACCAGUUUGCCCAACGUAAUGCAUAGACAUUACUCCACCAAAUAUGUAGCAAACAACUCCACAGAGAGACAACAGGAUUUUGGAGGAUGUCCAUCAUAUGUUUGUGGACAUGGAGGAAAAACUAAAACAAGAUCCAACCACCUACGUAGAAUCGUACAAGGCUAUGCUCAGAGCAUAUGGUCGUUUAAAAACAGACAGUGCCCUUGUAUCAGCAAUCCGAAUGUUUGGCAGGUAUAGCGGAGUAAAUCUUGCUAAAAGGAAGGUGAAGUCGAAGGCAGGAGUCUCGGGUGGACUGCUACAGUCAUCUGGCCCCAGCAUCCCUGUUCAGCCCUCAGCCAUAUCACGCCGUCGACUGAAACUCGGAGGGAGGAGGAAACUAAAUAAGGGACGUCCAACCAAACAGUCUGCCAUGAAAGAGCAAGCCUUUUCUAGACCAUCUUCAUCAGCCAUAAUUCCAUCCAAGAAAAAGCGUGUUGCUGCACCACAUUCCCUUGGACAUGCAGUGACUAUGUGCCAAUCUUUAGGGAAGACACAUAGUGCAAAAUAAUUGAGUAUGCUCAACCAAACACCUUCAUCUUCAGGCGAAUUACCAGAAGAUUAUAUACCAGAAGCCGUGGCCCACUGCAUGAAUAAGGCACAGCGGGAUUAUAUGCCAGAUAUACCGAUCCUCUAUAAUUCUUCCAAAGACUUAGGAGGGGUUUAGUACAUCCGGUAUAAAAUGCUGUUUUGCGGUUUUCCCGCAGUGGGCCGCAGCUUUAUCUUUUGGUAAGUCACCUAAGCUGUCAUUAUGCACUGGAUGUGUCCCAAAAAAGUAUUAUUUGGACUAUAUUUGGGAUAGUUAUGACUUUUGUUUUUCAAUUCUGCUGAUGUCAUAUCUUUGCAAACAAAUUACCACCUUGAAAGCUAUUUCUUAUUUGCUAACAAUUGCCUGAUUUUGUGAUACUUUUUCCCUUUUUAGUCUCACUUUCAUGAUAAUCAACAUCCA